rnacentral:rRNA from 1 species
GCUUACGGCCAUACCAGCCUGAGCACGCCCGCUCUCGUAAUUAGUACUUGAAUGGGAGACCGCCUGGGAAUGCCAGGUGCUGUAAGCAU